CUAAGAAUAUUCCGCAAUGGACGAAAGUCUGACGGAGCGACGCCGCGUGGAUGAAGAAGGCCGAAAGGUUGUAAAAUCCUUUUGCUGAGGAAGAAUAAGUGUGGGAGGGAAUGCCCGCAUGAUGACAUGAAUCGGCGAAUAAGCCCCGGCCAACUACGUGCCAGCAGCCGCGGUAACACGUAGGGGGCGAGCGUUGUUCGGAAUUACUGGGCGUAAAGGGCAUGUAGGCGGUUAUGUAAGCCUGGCGUGAAAGUCCACAGCUUAACUGUGGGAUUGCGUUGGGAACUAGAUGACUAGAGGUACGGAGAGGGAGCGAGAAGGCCUGGU
rnacentral:rRNA from 1 species